rnacentral:misc_RNA from 1 species
CAUAAAACCUCACCUCCCCCAAGUUGGGGGUCGUGGUCAUGGGCCUCGCCGGCCGCCCUCAGGGCGCCGGGGGCGUGGCCUGAAAGUCAUCGGUCGCUGGCCCUCCAUGGGUUCUCGGUGUGCGAGUCGAUUCUUGACGUCUCGCCGGGACCCGACGGAGGUCGCGGAGACCCUAAACUUCUGAAC